rnacentral:rRNA from 1 species
AACCNKUCKSGGGURAAACGGACAGAGCCCGUGAAUCCGGGCGGCGGAAUUCAGAAUCGACGGGCGUUUGCGCGUCCGUCGGUUCGAUAUUUCCGUCGCCGUAACCUUUGUACGGACGUCGCGACCCGUUCGGUGUCGGUCUUCGGGAGACGCGUAAAAGUUCGUGGGCGCGUGUCGGUCGUUUCGGCGGUUCGGCGCGCGUUCGCGAGUACGCGUUCUUUUUCUGGCCGACUCGCCGGACGGUAUGCGAAACGGUGACCGCGACGGCCUUUCGAGCGCCGUCGCACUGUGGUACCGGUCUGYRACGAAUACUUCAGGKMCUYUUUCCRA